UGGGGAAUCUUCCGCAAUGGACGAAAGUCUGACGGAGCAACGCCGCGUGUAUGAUGAAGGUCUUCGGAUUGUAAAGUACUGUCAUUGGGGAAGAACGGUUUUCUUGAAAGAUUGAGAAGACAUGACGGUACCCAAGGAGGAAGCCCCGGCUAACUACGUGCCAGCAGCCGCGGUAAUACGUAGGGGGCAAGCGUUGUCCGGAAUUAUUGGGCGUAAGGGCGCGUAGGCGGGCCUUUAAGUCCGGUGUGAAAGAUCAGGGCUCAACCCUGAGAGUGCAUCGGAAACUGGAGGCCUUGAGGACAGGAGAGGAAAGUGGAAUUCCACGUGUAGCGGUGAAAUGCGUAGAUAUGUGGAGGAACACCAGUGGCGAAGGCGACUUUCUGGACGUAACUGACGCUGAGGCGCGAAAGCGUGGGGGAGCAAACAGGUUAGAUACCCUGGUAGUCCACGCCGUAAACGAUG
rnacentral:rRNA from 1 species